CCUGGUGGCUCAGUAGUAAAGAAUCUGCCUGCGAUGCAGGAGACCCAGGUUCAAUCCCUGGGUCAGGA
rnacentral:tRNA from 1 species